CAUUCGAUGAAGACCGUAGCAAAUUGCGAUAAGUGGUGUGAUAUGCGAGUCCAAAACUUAUACGUGAACCAUCGAAUUGUUGAACGCAUCGCAUCGAGCUUUGCCCAAGCACGAUAUGUCCCAUUGAGCGUCAUUAUGUCUUUGGAUUUUAUUCCAAGUUCGGGAUUUAUGGCCCUCAGCCAUGCUUCCUUGGAUGUAUCAGUGCCAGAUGGAGUGGUACUCCCCUUGUCGUAAACUUCAAGGUGUCCACAUCAGCUCUGGCCUGUCGACCGAUCCUAGUCGGUCAACAUGAGGGUGCCUUCAAUGGUUACCUCUCUCAAACAUGAUCUCAAGGGGGCAAGACAACCCGCUAGACUUAAGCAUAUUAAUCAGCGGAGGAAAAGAAACUAACAAGGAUUCCCCCAGUAACUGCGAGUGAAGAGGGAUCAGCUCAACGUGUGAAUCUGAUAAGGUUUAAUGCCUUGUCCGACUUGUGCACUAUUGACACUGGCUCAGCGUAUGAAUACUAAAGGCGGAUGUCCGAUGAAACACGGCACCAUAGCGGGUCACAGUCCUAUACAUGCCUAUUGGUGUUUACGCAUAUGACCAGUGCUCAUCGAGUCGUGUAGUUUUGUAUUGCUGCACUAAUUGGGAGGUAGAGCCCUUCUAAAGCUAAAUAUUAUGGCAUGACCGAUAGCAAACAAGUACCGUGAGGGAAAGGUGAAAAGCAACCAUGCAGAAUGGGUUGAAAGAGUAGUGAAAGUGCUACCGGGAUAAGGGCUAGUGAUUGCAAGUGCAGAUCGUGUGUGCUUUAGUGCUACACUAACUGCCGUCAUGCAUCGAUUGGGUUGGGGAGAACAGGUCGGUGGAGAUUCAGCUCGAUCCAGAGUGUUGUAACCCACCAGGCAAUGGAGUCCCAUCCGAUCGGAUACAAGGUGCAUUGGUUGCGGUCAUUAGCCGCCCGUCUUGAAACACGGACCAAGGAGUGUACCUUGCAUGCGAGUCUAAUGGACUGGAAUCCACUAGGCGUAGCGAAAGCGACGAGAGCGAAUCCCUCACUGGAGGAUGCUCCACCUGCCUGUGUAAGGUUGAGCAUGUAGGGUGCGACCCGAAAGAUGGUGAACUAUGCCCGGGUAAGGUGAAGCCAGUGGAAACGCUGGUGGAAGCCUGUAGCGGUUCUGACGUGCAGAUCGAUCGUGUAACCUGGGUAUAGGGGCGAAAGACCUAACGAACCGUCUAAUGGCUGGUUCCCCCCGAAGUUUCCCUCAGGAUAGCUGUGUCUAAGUAGUGCCAGUUGCACGCGGUAAAGCGAAUGAUUAGGUGUCUCGGGACCUUAUUGGUCUCGGCUCAUUCUCAAACUGUGAAUAGUGUGCGUCCACACGUGACUUAUCAGCACGUUGGGUUAAUGGCCAGAUGCAAGUGGGCUGGUUUUGGUAAGCAGAACUGGCG
rnacentral:rRNA from 1 species